rnacentral:tRNA from 1 species
AGAGGCGUAGCUCAGUGGUAGAGCACAUGCUUAGCACGCACGAGGUACCGGGUUCAAUCCCCAGCACCUCCA